GACUGGAUAGGAAAUAAAAAGGCAUCUUUUUAUUUUUAAAAGACCUUUUUCGAAAGGUAUGCUUAAAGAGGGGCUUGCGCCAUAUUAGUUAGUUGGUAGGGUAAAAGCCUACCAAGACGAUGAUAUGUAGCUGGACUGAGAGGUUGAACGGCCACAUUGGGACUGAGACACGGCCCAAACUCCCACGGGAGGCAGCAGUAGGGAAUUUUCGGCAAUGGAGGAAACUCUGACCGAGCAACGUCGCGUGAACGAUGAAGUAUUUCGGUAUGUAAAGUUCUUUUAUUGAAGAAGAAAAAAUAGUGGAAAAACUAUCUUGACGCUAUUCAAUGAAUAAGCCCUGGCUAAUUAUGUGCCAGCAGCCGCGGUAAUACAUAAAGGGCGAGCGUUAUCCGGAAUUAUUGGGCGUAAAGGGUGCGUAGGCGGUUUGUUAAGUCUUUAGUUUAAUCUCAGUGCUUAACGCUGUUCUGCUAGAGAAACUGACUUACUAGAGUGAGAUAGAGGCCAGUGGAAUUCCAUGUGUCAGCGGUAAAAUGCGUAAAUAUAUGGAGGAACACCAGAGGCGUAGGCGGCUUGCUGGGUCUUUACUGACGCUGAGGCACGAAAGCGUGGGGAGCAAACAGGAUUAGAUACCCUGGUAGUCCACGCCGUAAACGAUGAGUACUAAGUGUCGGGGAAACUCGGUACUGAAGUUAACACAUUAAGUACUCCGCCUGAGUAGUACGUACGCAAGUAUGAAACUUAAAGGAAUUGACGGGAUCCCGCACAAGCGGUGGAUCAUGUUGUUUAAUUCGAAGAUACACGAAAAACCUUACCAGGUCUUGACAUACUCUGCAAAGCUGUAGAAAUACAGUGGAGGUUAUCAGGGAUACAGGUGGUGCAUGGGUGUCGUCAGCUCGUGUCGUGAGAUGUUAGGUUAAGUCCUAGAACGAGCGCAACCCUUGUCGUUAGUUACCAGCACGUUAUGGUGGGCACUUUAACGAGACUGCCAAUGAAAUAUUGGAGGAAGGUGAGGAUUACGUCAAAUCAUCAUGCCCCUUAUGAUCUGGGCUACAAACGUGAUACAAUGGCUGUUACAAAGAGUAGCUGAAACGUGAGUUUUUGGCCAAUCUCAAAAAAACAGCCUCAGUUCGGAUUGAAGUCUGCAACUCGACUUCAUGAAGUUGGAAUCGCUAGUAAUCGCAAAU
rnacentral:rRNA from 1 species